AGCGAACGCUGGCGGCAGGCCUAACACAUGCAAGUCGAACGAACUCUUCGGAGUUAGUGGCGGAAGGGUGAGUAACACGUGGGAACGUGCCUUUUGGUUCGGAAUAACUCAGGGAAACUUGUGCUAAUACCGAAUGUGCCCUUCGGGGGAAAGAUUUAUCGGCAUUAGAGCGGCCCGCGUCUGAUUAGCUAGUUGGUGAGGUAACGGCUCACCAAGGCGACGAUCAGUAGCUGGUCUGAGAGGAUGACCAGCCACACUGGGACUGAGACACGGCCCAGACUCCUACGGGAGGCAGCAGUGGGGAAUCUUGCGCAAUGGGCGAAAGCCUGACGCAGCCAUGCCGCGUGAAUGAUGAAGGUCUUAGGAUUGUAAAAUUCUUUCACCGGGGACGAUAAUGACGGUACCCGGAGAAGAAGCCCCGGCUAACUUCGUG
rnacentral:rRNA from 1 species